rnacentral:rRNA from 1 species
AUAGUUUGAUACUGGCUCAGAACGAACGCUGGCGGCAGGCCUAAUACAUGCAAGUCGAACGAACCCUUCGGGGUGAGUGGCGCACGGGUGAGUAACACGUGGGAAUCUACACCAAGGUACGGAAUAACUGUGGGAAACCGCCGCUAAUACCGUAUAAUAUCUCCGGAUCAAAGAUUUAUCGCCUUGGAAUGAGCCCGCGCUUGAUUAGAUAGUUGGUGGGGUAACGGCCUACCAAGUCGACGAUCAAUAGCUGGUCUGAGAGGAUGAUCAGCCACACUGGUACUGAGACACGGACCAGACUCCUACGGGAGGCAGCAGUAAGGGAUAUUGGACAAUGGGCGCAAGCCUGUUCCAGCCAUGCCGCGUGAGUGAAGAAGGCCCUCGGGUUGUAAAACUCUUUCAGUAGUGAAGAUGAUGACGGUAACUACAGAAGAAGCUCCGGCUAACUUCGUGCCAGCAGCCGCGGUAAUACGAAGGGGGCGAGCGUUGUUCGGAAUCACUGGGCUUAAAGCGUAUGUAGGCGGAUUGGAAAGUCAGAAGUGAAAUCCCGGGGCUCAACCCCGGAACUGCUUUUGAAACUUCCAGUCUAGAGUCCCGGAGAGGUUGGCGGAAUUCCGAGUGUAGAGGUGAAAUUCGCAGAUAUUCGGAGGAACACCAGUGGCGAAGGCGGCCAACUGGACGGGAACUGACGCUGAGAUACGAAAGCGUGGGGAGCAAACAGGAUUAGAUACCCUGGUAGUCCACGCUGUAAACGAUGUGUGCUAGUUGUCGGGGUCUUUAGGCUU